CUUCACAUAAGAGAGAAGAAGCAGAGUCUGUGGGCACCCUCCUCCUCCAUCUGGCCAAAUUACUGCAAAAAAAUAAAUAAAUAAAAAUAAAAAAUGUCUAAAAUGACGAUCGUUCAUCUGGGAGUUCUUGUGUUCGCCAUAUGUUUAUCAACACAGGUGGUCUCCCAGAAGACCACAGCCCCCUCAGGGGGAGAAAACGCAACCUCCAACGCCACCACCAUGGCCACAGACACCUACAGCAGUCCGGCCAACACCACCACCUCUACCGGAGCAGGCGUCUCGCUGCAUGCAGGCACCCUCUCCUUUCUGAUUCCCGUCAUCAUGGCAGUCUCUUUCCUGCAGCAUUACUGUUGAAGCCCGGACCCCCCCCCCACCUUUUCUCUGCCUCAACACUCCUCACUCCUCACCUCCCAUCCAAUUAUCCCCACCCAGUCCAGCCUCCUCUACCCUUCACUGCACAGACCACAAGACUAACAUGGAUGGACUCCGCAACCUUCUUUGUCCUCCUAGUAAUGAUAAAAAUAUGUAAUCCAAGACAUUUCUUUCAAUAAAGGGGGUUCUAACCUUCCGCUGGAGAUCAUCAACAAGACCCCCCAGCCCCUUGCAUGGAAUCAAAAGGAAUGGUGGUGCGUCCAGCUUCCCUUUUGGCUUGCGUUUCCAUGGUCACGUCAUCACAUUUUGGAGACGUUCAGGGCUGCGGUUGUCAUGUCACAUGUCUUGAUUGAAAUGCGGACCACUUGAGUGUACAGAGGUUCUUUUUGUGGCUUCAGAUCCACCUGGCAAUCAAUAUCAAAUGAUUUUUGUCUGUUAAGUGAAUUUUGGCUCAUAAAGUAGGAGAUUUAAACACACACACACACACACUCACACACAAACAAGAUGACAUUUUUAGUUGGGUUUUUUUAAAAUUAUUUGGCCAUUCAGUUGUUUUAUUAGAAAUGUAAAAAAAAAAAAAAGAAGAUGUAUGUAGCAAAUAAGUUGCCGCAGGACUUGUGUCAGUUUUGCCUUGUGAUUUUUAAAGAGUUGUGGUCUUUUACUAAGAGGGUUUGAUUGACACCUUUCCCCCCUUCAUCCAUGGGUAACACCUUGGAAGUGACUGUAUGUACAACCAUAUGGGAAGGGUUGAUGUUAGAUUUAUAUUUCCCCCUUACAGUUUAUAUUUUGUAUAAAUGGAAAUGUACUGUUUAUUAGUUUGGGUAUAAGAUACUGAAAGAAAUGACAAUGUACAAUAAAUUCUGAAAAGUGA